GAUUAAGUAGACUCCGGAAAACAUGUCUGCAACAUUUUCAACGUUUCCGUAGCCGUUAAUUUAUUGAAAAUACAAAAUUUCAGGAAAACUCGUUGUUUAAAUUUCUUCCGUGGUAAAAAUCGCCAGACGUACUAUAGGGUGAUUCAUUUCGAGCUUCCUUACCUUUUUAAAGAAAAGACCACAGAAAAUUAAAAUUUAAUGGGUAGCUCUUCGUCCCAAAUACGGCAAUUUUGCUUACCCAUUAAGGCAGAAAUGGGCCUCAUCGUUGAACAAAAUUUCUCCCGGAAACGUCGGAUCUUCUUGGAACUUUUUAAGAGCCCAUAGAGCAAAGUGAUGCCGCUUGGGAAGGACAAGAAAAGUUUUAUCCAGACCAGUCCGGGUCAAAGUUGAUCAGUUGGUAAUUCAUCUCUAAACACCAAGUUCGAUAAUUAUAUUAUCAUCCGUCUCGUUUUGGCUCUCUAUUAUCGAUUAACGGUCUUAAGGUGAUUAUUAAGCAAGUCAGUUUUAAGAGGGGACCAAAAAACUGUCAGAAAGGCCUUGAAAAGCUGACGUAAGAGCUCAAGUUGGACUUUUAAAAUCAGUUAGUGGUUCUUCGUACUAGUUCGGGAUAAGGAUAAAGAAAAAGACUAAAACGACCUCAGCUAGAUACUUCCAAGGACAUCACAAAAUCCAAUUCGAUCAAAAAAAAAAAAUAAUAAUAAUAUCCGUUCGACGCACUAAAGCCGAACUCGUACGAUACCAACGAAAUUAGCCGCAGCUAUAAUACACUCUGUACCAACAAUUUUCUGUACUAAAAUAUAUUUUUUCGCACACUGUUCAGCAUUUAAAGCCACAAAUGGUAAAAAAAUAAAAAUUAAAAAAUAGAAAGAAAAUCAUUAAAUGAAAUAAAUUAACAAAGUGUUGCAUUAAGCUGCUGCUGGUAAAGAGCAACUGGAUUGUCGCACAAACAAGCAAAUAUACAGCAAC